rnacentral:tRNA from 1 species
GCUCCCAUGGCGUAGUGGUCACUGCACUCGCCUUGCACGCGGGAGACCCGGGUUCGAUUCCUGGCAGGGUCA